GAUCUGGACGAGGAAUUCAGGCUUUGGCGAUGUCUUGCGUACUUUGAUAGUGCAAACAAAAGGAUAGUUGUCUGCACACUGCUUUCAACACCAAGGGAAUGUGCAGUGGAAAGUUCUGAGGAAGAUACACUGCUACUGUUCCAGGUCUCUCUACAUAUGUGAUAGCUUGCUCUUCUGGUCCUAUCCUGUUUGGAGUUCCAUGAAGGCAAGUAGUUUAAUCUUUUUGUUUGUUUUGUUUAUUUAUUUUAUUAUUAUUAUUAUUUUUUACCAGAGCACUGCUCAGCUCUGGCUUAUGGUGGGGUGGGGAAUUGAACCUGGGACUUCGGAGCCUCAGGCAUGAAAGUCUAUUUGCAUAACCAUUAUGGUAUUUACCCCACCCAGUAGUUUAAUCUUUAUUACCAUGUCCCUAAUAUUAAGAACCAUACUUGUUGCAAACUUUGCUCCCAAUGAUUGUUUAUAACCUAGUGAAUACUUAGAACCACCUCCUUAGCCUACAGUCAAAUGAGCUGCAGCUAGUUUUAUAGUAGUACCAUAGCUUCUCAAUUGCCUUCUCUGACAGUGGUUGCUAUCCUCUCAGGUAAAUGAAUCAUAAAUA